rnacentral:pre_miRNA from 1 species
GGGUGGUCAUCAAUCCCGGACGAGCCCCCAAGUGAAAGGACCCCCCCAAGGGGGGAGACCCUCCUCAAGUCACAGGUGACGGCGCAACCCCAAUCAGUCACAGAGUC